rnacentral:rRNA from 1 species
CCUACGGGAGGCAGCAGUGAGGAAUAUUGGUCAAUGGACGAGAGUCUGAACCAGCCAAGUAGCGUGAAGGAUGACUGCCCUAUGGGUUGUAAACUUCUUUUAUAUGGGAAUAAAAUGUUCCACGUGUGGGUUUUUGUAUGUACCAUAUGAAUAAGGAUCGGCUAACUCCGUGCCAGCAGCCGCGGUAAUACGGAGGAUCCGAGCGUUAUCCGGAUUUAUUGGGUUUAAAGGGAGCGUAGGUGGAUUGUUAAGUCAGUUGUGAAAGUUUGCGGCUCAACCGUAAAAUUGCAGUUGAAACUGGCAGUCUUGAGUACAGUAGAGGUGGGCGGAAUUCGUGGUGUAGCGGUGAAAUGCUUAGAUAUCACGAAGAACUCCGAUUGCGAAGGCAGCUCACUGAACUGCAACUGACACUGAGGCUCGAAAGUGUGGGUAUCAAACAGGAUUAGAUACCCGUGUAGUC